rnacentral:rRNA from 1 species
GGAGGGAUCAUUACACAAUAAACAUAUGAAGGCUGCACCGCCAACAGGCGGCAAGGCUGGAGUAUUUUAUUACCCUUGUCUUUUGCGCACUUGUUGUUUCCUGGGCGGGUUCGCCCGCCUCCAGGACCACAUGAUAAACCUUUUUUAUGCAGUUGCAAUCAGCGUCAGUACAACAAAUGUAAAUCAUUUACAACUUUCAACAACGGAUCUCUUGGUUCUGGCAUCGAUGAAGAACGCAGCGAAAUGCGAUACGUAGUGUGAAUUGCAGAAUUCAGUGAAUCAUCGAAUCUUUGAACGCACAUUGCGCCCUUUGGUAUUCCAAAGGGCAUGCCUGUUCGAGCGUCAUUUGUACCCUCAAGCUUUGCUUGGUGUUGGGCGUUUUUUGUCUUUGGUUUUGUCCAAAGACUCGCCUUAAAACGAUUGGCAGCCGGCCUACUGGUUUCGCAGCGCAGCACAUUUUUGCGCUUGCAAUCAGCAAAAGAGGACGGCACUCCAUCAAGACUCUAUAUCACUUUUGACCUCGGAUCAGGUAGGGAUACCCGCUGAACUUAAGCAUAU